CAGUCGCCGCGGUAAUACGAAGGGUGCAAGUGUUAAUCGGAAUUACUGGGCGUAAAGCGUGCGUAGGCGGUGAGUUAAGUCUGCUGUGAAAUCCCCGGGCUCAACCUGGGAAUGGCAGUGGAUACUGGCUCGCUAGAGUGUGUCAGAGGAUGGUGGAAUUCCCGGUGUAGCGGUGAAAUGCGUAGAGAUCGGGAGGAACAUCAGUGGCGAAGGCGGCCAUCUGGGACAACACUGACGCUGAGGCACGAAAGCGUGGGGAGCAAACAGGAUUAGAUACCCCAGUAGUCCCUGUCUCUUAUAC
rnacentral:rRNA from 1 species